AAUCAACGCUGGCGGCGUGCCUCAGACAUGCAAGUCGAACGCGAAAGGCUCCUUCGGGAGCCCGGUAGAGUGGCGCACGGGUGAGUAACACGUGGGUAAUUUACCUUCGGGUGGGGAAUAACAGCCGGAAACGGCUGCUAAUACCGCAUAAUGCAGCGGCACCACAUGGUGACAGUUGUUAAAGUGGGGGAUCGCAAGACCUCACGCCUGAAGAGAAGCCCGCGGCGGAUUAGCAGUUGGCGGGGUAAUGGCCCACCAAGGCGUCGAUCCGUAGCCGGCCUGAGAGGGCGGUCGGCCACACUGACACUGAAUAACGGGUCAGACUCCUACGGGAGGCAGCAGUCGGGAAUUUGGGCAAUGGGCGCAAGCCUGACCCAGCAACGCCGCGUGAAGGAUAGAAAUCCC
rnacentral:rRNA from 1 species